rnacentral:lncRNA from 1 species
GUCUAGCUGUACGUGUCGUAAGCGAUCGUCAGUCUAGACCGUGCAGAGUGCCUCGACUGCCUGUCACGUCUGCACGUAAAACCCCAGUGUCAUUUGGUUUUAUAUCCUAAUUUCGCGCGCAGUCGCAGUGAACAGCCAAGUAUUAUUCCAUUCGUUGAAGAAGCUGAAGGACGCUAAAUCAAGGUCUCCCUGUGCUGCUGUUGUCACUUUGAAGCCAGCAUGAAUCCUUUCUUCAAGUUGUUGGUUGAAUAUGUAUGCUUAAGCAUUCUCGUAAAUCUGGUACAAGCUUUUGAUGAGGAGUUUGAAAAGAAAUGGCAAAGCAUGCACAAACGGACUGCCUUGGCUCCUGGAACAAUCGUCACCAUAUUUAUCGCCUUGAUGAUUGCAGCAACUUGUUUUAGCCUGCUCUGUUUUUGCUUGCGACGACAGCGCAAUAUCUAUAAUGCCAGCCCUUGUGUUCCACCUCCACUGAUGCCAGCCGCACCUGUGGUGACGUCGGGGGCAAGGACACAUGCCCCACUUGAAUCGUAUCCUCUGGUAUCGGGAGCUACUCUGUCUCCGGCCGCACCAAGUCCACAGCCGAAUCGCCACCCACAGCCAACUGCACCAUACUUGCAGGGGGGCCCCCACACGGGCAACGGUGUUGCACCACUCAUACAGCCGUCGGAUGUCGUGUUGCCGUCGCCAUCCGCACCACACGAACCACUGCCGUACGAGCGGCCGCCACCAUAUACGAACCAAUCUGAAGGAUCUUAUUUCACGAAAUCAUAGUUGAGUACAGCCUCGGUUGGUGACUGCACGUCUUUGAUCGGUGUGGCUGGUGGGCGGCUGUGGGGUCUUGAUGCCGAGCAAGAGGUCGCGGGUUCGAGUCCAUUGAAGUCGGUGUGUGUGUGAACACCUAUGCCAUUAUAGGAGCCCUGCAGCACUUCUUCAAUGGGUUUCAUAAUGCUAUAAUGCUGGUGAUUAUUAGUCAAGGCUACUGCACGCACGUGAGCCAGGCAUUAGAGUGUGCAUGUGGUAUGCAAAUUACAAUUGAAUUUCAAUAUCAGCUAGAUGCCACUCACUUUCCUUUUGACAAAUGAUUUCAUAUACCGGGAAUCAACUGCUGUGUAGAAUGCUUCAUUGUGCCUGCACCGCACUAAACAAAAUGUGCUCAUCAUCUCACUGAAAGUAUGCUGGACAUUGAAAGAAAACAAGAAAGUGCUCAAGAUCAUGACUUUCAUGGCUGCGCCGACGUAUCACCUUGCCUUCGUGCUAUCUCUCUUCUCGUGUAGGGAGUGCUAUAGCACGAAGACAAGGACGCUGACGAUUGAAAACGAGCACUUGGCACUCGUCCCCAUUUGUCUUUGUGUCCUUGUCUUUAGUUUGUGCUACAGCGCUCGUCAUGACAUACAUGCUAGGCCAAGCCGCUACCCUUUUUGUGUAGCUUUCAGAGCACUUGCUGGCACGUAAGGAGAGAGGAAGUGCACAGAGCGUGCCAUAAAUUUCUGUGAUUCCCCGUGUGCUUGUCAAAUUCUGAAAUUAUUUGUGGCAGUUGAUUUGCAAAGCAAAAAUUUUGAUACUUGAAAAUGUGUUGUAGGGUCCCUUUAAGUUAAGUUCGCACGGUUGAGACCAGUGCAGAGUUGGAUCAAUUCAUUGCGGGAUCGUGGUGAAAGUCUGGUCCAUUCAGACAACUAGUACUGUCCAAAUCUGUGUUUUUCACAUGUUGUGCAUUGAAAGUACUUUUCUUAGAAUUAUUUGGAUAUCCAUCUUUUGGAAUGGUGAUAUUACUACAUAAGAGCAUUUAACUUUGAGGUGCACAAAGACUGUGAAAGAAACAAUAUGUAACCACCUAUUUAUUUUUGUUGUCCUCAUUUUAGAACUUUUUGUAGCUGACUUAAUAACUGCUCUACUCCUUAAAAGUGCUCUUGUGUAGCGUUAGAAUAAGAUUAUCAGCAUAAAAAAUUCUACUGUGAGCCAGCAACAAAUAAUCAUAAAUGUGCCUAAAAUAGUCUUGCAAUAUAUAUAACUAGUGUUAGGAACAUACCUUUACAACAAAAUUUCAUAUAUAACAUACUUAUUUUUGUCUAAGAUGCAACUUUGUUGUUACGAGGUUUGUGUGUAUGCCACAUUAUCAUCGUCCUUAUCCACAUUGAAAAAUCGUUUUCACAUUGACUCUGAAUGAGUCAAGAGCACUCCUUGUGUUCACAUACUAGUCAAAGUAGUCGUCAUAUUACCUAUCCUCUAUAUUUUUUGUUUUGGAGCCUCUGCCCAGAAUAUUGUGUAAACAGUUGCAAAUGGUUGCUAAAUGUAACGCUUAGUGGCAUUGAGUUCAGUUUAAUUUGAACAAUGUAAAAGCUAUCAGCAAUGAUAAACAAAUGUCUCCCCCCUUCCCCUCUUCGACAUACUGUGCAAAUUCAUUUCUCUCGUGUUUACUGCCAAAAUGAUGUUGAUAAUUUUAAUACCAUACUUCACUUUAUUAAGUAAAUGCAUUAUAUUUAGGUAUGAGUGAAAAAUUUAUACAAAGUAAUGCAUUUACUACAUGGAUUGGCAGUGAAACAAGAUGUUGUGUAUGAAGUACCGUAAAAUACCCUACAAGUGCCCCUACCUGAGCAGGCAGGCACCUUCCUUCUUCGGGAGAUUUCGAAUGUAUGGCCUCUUCUCUCCUCCCACCAUUUUCGCUGUUUCAUGCACUGUUUUCAUUUGCCCAAUGAGAGUGAAUGAAAACAGUGAAUGCAUUCGUAUCCAAUAAAGCAUUUUAGUCUCCAGCAAAGCUAUGUUCAUUGUGAACAGCUUUGUGAAAGACAUCGAGCAUAUCGUGGCACAAUCGUUGCACCUUCCUCACUACAACGAGCGAAGCAUGGGUGUCCAUCCUUCAUUCUUAACGGCUCUUCUGCCACCAUCGCGAAUUCAUUCCCCCUAUGGUGAAUUCUCCUUCACCAUAGACGGGACACUUGCUCUGGAUUGUACUGCAGUGAUACGUGAGAUAGAAGAGAUUCUACUGCAUCCUUAACUCAUUGAACUGAACUCUGAUAACCCUAAUCAGCCCUGGCUGGUAUGUGAUAAAUUAGCAGAUUUUCGUUCCUCAUUAAGUUUGGGGACAAAUAACAUGAACAAAGUUAAACUCACCUUUCAAAAUUCUCAUGCACACGUGCAAAGGUGAUUCCAAAUCUCUAACCUUGUGCUCUGAGUAUGCAACACCAAUUGUUCCUUCUCUUGUGUGGUUGCCAAAAUAUAGCGGUGCGCUAGUGACAGCCACAAUUAAGAUCAUCUGUGCUCUCCAAUUCACCUCGUAUAGGCAUGACAGUGUUACAGUAAAAACUGCAGGCAUUAUUACUUAUACCAUCAGGGGUGCCAUAUUCUCAAUCGAUUGCAUUAUUUGGCAUCACUAUGGCAUGCAUUUAUUAUCUGACCCUGUGGAGUGGAUCCUCACCACAGUGUCAUGGCACCAUAUAAUGAGCUAUUCUUUGUGGAAAAUUGCUGAGAAAUUGACCUAGGGAUAAAAUAUGAACAAUGAUUGUUCAUUUGAACAUAUUUUUUUGAUCUAUGAUCUGCACUUUGUGCUGUUUCUUUUGUCUUAUUACACAGUGAUCUUACAUUGCGUGCACUGCAUUGACCAAAUAACAGAGAGGCUUCUUGGUUUAUUCAAAUGAGCUUUGUAGGCCGUUUAACAAAUUAUAGCUACUGAUUCUUUUGGAUCUGCUUGUACUCCUGUGUUUUAUUUACCCUUCUGCUUUAACCAGCUCUUUCAUCGAUUUAAAAUGAAACUGUGUGUUCGAUUGUCGGUCAUGGCGGCUGCACCAAAUUGAUGGAGGCUAUAUGCAAAAAUACUCACGUGCCUUUCAUGUUUUCAAGAUGGUCAAGAUUAUUGCAAAGUACCCUCGGUUAGUUCCUCACAAUUUAUGAGCCAUGUUGUGAUGUUAAACUGUAUAAUUUAUUUAUAUUUAUUGAUAUGAGGCUCAUAGCAUGUUUUUAUUUACAAUAAUUAAUAUUGUUAAUCAAAUACCCUGAAUGGCCGUAGCCACACUACUUAGGGUUGUUUCAGUAAGUCAUGAGUAAGUGCAGAGCAUGCAUUUUAACGGAUAGAUCCACAGUUCAUUUCAGUGAGCCUUUGUUUUUUUUUUUAUUUAGAUUUAAGAAGACAAUUUAUUGUAGUACGUGUCAAAUUCUCGUGCGUGACUGCAACAAAAUAUUUUUUUUCGCUCUCACAUGACAUAUAAGCACAAGGUUACAAAGGAUUUGUCAUUUUAUCAUUUCCGCUGACACGUUUUGUCAAUCUUAAGCGAGUUUCUGGUGUCUAAGCUCCUCUAUCAUGUACACCACACGACCAUUUCAUGCACUACAAGCUCAAAGUUUGCCUCCUCGAGAGCUGUUUUAUGCUCUGCAUUGUCUGAAUGUGUUUUUUUGUUUAUAUUUGGAGUUUUCAUGUUGUGAAUGUUCAUACUGGUGCAAAGGCUGAAUGUUUAUGCAAGUGAAUUCAUUUUUAUGCUGGCGCAAAUGAUGUUAGAAAUUGCUGCAUUUCAAUAAAUGUUUCUCAAAGUUCGUCCAUU